rnacentral:lncRNA from 1 species
GGGGCGCUUCUAGUAGCUGCUUAUGAUCUGAUGCACAGAAUCUUCUGGCCACAGCAGGAAACCUGGCUUCCUGAAGGACCCACAGAGGAUCUGUGGGGGAGAGAGAGAUCUGUGUGUGUGUGUGUGUCUGUGUGUGUGUCUGUGUGUGUGUCUGUGUGUAUGUGUGUCUGUGUGUGUGUCUGUGUGUCUGUGUGUAUGUCUGUGUGUGUGUGUCUGUGUGUGUGUCUGUGUGUAUGUCUGUGUGUGUUGCACAAGUCUGAAGAGCCUUCUCUUCCAUCCUCCCUCCUCCCCGCAGUGCAGUUAUCCUGGCCUUUUCCCCUAUUAAUCUGUCAUUAAGAGGAAGGACACUAUUAAUGGAAAUGGUGCUGUCUCAUACAGAGUCCCUCACCACAGUCUGUUCCCAGCAACAACCUACAUGUUGGAAUGGACAAAGGACGUGCAUGAUGGACGGUAGAUGGCCAGCCUUAGGGUGGGAGACACUCCUGGCUACAGAGACAGCGUCACCCUGUUCCCAGGCUUCUCAUGUGCAGAGUGAAGAUGAACACAGCUCUUUAUGCGGCAAAGUUUGCUUAGGAUGCAGGGGGAGGUAGGUGUCGUGUUAGUAGUCAUCGAUUGCUGUGUAACAAAACAGCCUCAAACUCAAAAGCCUCACUCAUCACUGGUUGGGAGAUCUGGGAGUGUCUUAUCUCUCCUUCUCACUGUCCUAAUAGUC